rnacentral:tRNA from 3 species
AGGGUUAUAGUUAAUUAUAACAUUUGGGUUGCAUUCAAAAAGUAUUGAUUUUAUCAAUUAACCUUA